rnacentral:rRNA from 1 species
GUGGGGAAUAUUGGACAAUGGGCGAAAGCCUGAUCCAGCCAUGCCGCGUGUGUGAAGAAGGUCUUCGGAUUGUAAAGCACUUUAAGUUGGGAGGAAGGGUAGUAACCUAAUACGUUGCUACUUUGACGUUACCGACAGAAUAAGCACCGGCUAACUUCGUGCCAGCAGCCGCGGUAAUACGAAGGGUGCAAGCGUUAAUCGGAAUUACUGGGCGUAAAGUGCGCGUAGGUGGUUCAGUAAGUUGGAAGUGAAAUCCCCGGGCUCAACCUGGGAACUGCUUUCAAAACUGCUGAGCUAGAGUACGGUAGAGGGUGGUGGAAUUUCCUGUGUAGCGGUGAAAUGCGUAGAUAUAGGAAGGAACACCAGUGGCGAAGGCGACCACCUGGACUGAUACUGACACUGAGGUGCGAAAGCGUGGGGAGCAAACAGGAUUAGAUACCCGAGUAGUCC